UAAGUAAGCGGAGGAUAAGAAACUAAAUAGGAUUCCCUCAGUAAUGGCGAAUGAACAGGGAUAAGCUCAGCAUGGAAAUUGGGGCCCUCGGCCUUGAAUUGUAGUCUUGAGAUGUGUUACCAACGGAGGCGCAGAUGUAAGCCUCUUGGAAAAGAGCGUCAGGGAGGGUGAGAGUCCCGUAUGUCAUCUGCAGUUCUCUGUGCACGGUGCAUGUUCUAAGAGUCACGUUCCUCGGGAUUGGAGCGCAAAUUGGGUGGUAAAUUUCAUCUAAAGCUAAAUAUUGGUUCGAGACCGAUAGCAAACAAGUACCAUGAGGGAAAGGUGAAAAGGACUUUGAAAAGAGAGUUAAAAGUGCCUGAAAUUGCUGAAAGGGAAGCGAAUGGAACCAGUUGUUCUUGGUGAGUAUUGGUGUUGUCUAAAGUGAUGGCUUGCCACUUCAACGCAAGUGUGGUGGCAGGUUUUGAUCUGGAUGCGAUACUGCUUCUCGCCUUGCAUGUCAACGUCAGUUCAUAAUUGAGGAAAACUCUAAGGACAUGGUAAUUCGCUUCCGAGUGACUGAAUGUCCUCAGUUGAACUCAUUUUUGAACUGCUCUCUGUGUGUCUGGUAGCACUGCUUCAUGUGCUUGCCUGCGAUCUUCUGCUCUGCAUGAAGGUUGUUGGUGCCAGGAGCAUGUCCUUGACAUUAGAACGAUGACGAAAUGGUUUUAUUCGACCCG
rnacentral:rRNA from 1 species